rnacentral:rRNA from 1 species
AGAGUUUGAUCCUGGCUCAGAGCGAACGCUGGCGGCAGGCUUAACACAUGCAAGUCGAGCGGGCACUUCGGUGUCAGCGGCAGACGGGUGAGUAACACGUGGGAACGUACCCUUUGGUUCGGAAUAACGCUGGGAAACUAGCGCUAAUACCGGAUACGCCCUUUUGGGGAAAGGUUUGCUGCCGAAGGAUCGGCCCGCGUCUGAUUAGCUAGUUGGUGGGGUAAUGGCCUACCAAGGCGACGAUCAGUAGCUGGUCUGAGAGGAUGAUCAGCCACACUGGGACUGAGACGCGGCCCAGACUCCUACGGGAGGCAGCAGUGGGGAAUAUUGGACAAUGGGCGCAAGCCUGAUCCAGCCAUGCCGCGUGAGUGAUGAAGGCCUUAGGGUUGUAAAGCCCUUUUGUCCGGGACGAUAAUGACGGUACCGGAAGAAUAAGCCCCGGCUAACUUCGUG